rnacentral:sRNA from 1 species
UAUCAGGGAGAUUCCGCUAUCAGCCAGUCUCCGACGCCCUUCAAUUACCAUGAACUGAGUGCAUCUCUCUCGUGCGGGGUGGAUGAUCCCUUGCUCCUAACAGAAAAUGACUCCGAUUGGCUUUUGAAUUCAUCAAAACUAGAUACUCUUACAGGGGGAAUUCCCCAAGUCGCCAACCUGGCGGACUUCCGUAGUUCAUCUUGGACUACCUCCCCGGUUCCAAUUUCAGCACCCAAUUUCUCGGAAUGUUUAUCAAAUCCCAAUUCGCCUAGUGACUGGAACUGCAAGGGAGAUACAAACACGCCUGUGUACAAGCUCUCAAAGCUCCAUCUGGAACUAGAUGAUCUUCUCAGCAUUCCAACAAACUGCAAAGGCACGGUGCAUCCAAAUGAUAUAAUGUCCUCUCCCAGCAGCCCUUUUCCCAAGACUGCCGCAUCCACUCCCACCACUCCGACUGCUGCAGUCGACGAGAUUUUCUUGCUAAGCGAAAACCUCAUCGAAAUAAUGCAAGAGCUAUACCAAGAAGCAAGUACGGCAGCGUACCCGUCUCUUCACAUUUAUCCUUACAUGCCCCACGCCUCAUCAUUACGACGGAGAUGCUCAUAUAAUUCACAACAGAGUCACUUGGGCGGACAGCAACAAGAACCAGCAACUGCCCUCAUUACACUUACCUGUUAUCUCCGCCUUCUUGGGAUUUACGAGACGCUCGUAAUACCCCUUUACCAAUAUUUUCAGCAACACCAGAAAGAGCUCGAUACUCAUCCAAAUGCCCCGUUUCCUUUGCCAUUGCCUCUCCCUAUCCCAUCUCUCCCAACUUUCAAGUUGGGUCGAUACGAGCCAACUACUACCUCCGCUGUGAGCCUGGGUCUCCUCCUCCAUCUCCUUUUACGGACUCUUGAGUGUUUACAUACCACCCUUGGCCUAUACCUUCCUACAACCUCACUUAGCCCCCACAGUCUUUGGGCAUAUGACGGGCGUCCUCCGGCUUCCGCUACAAAUUCGCCAACCUCAGCCUCAGAUUAUGUCGAGGCAGGAUCGAUAUCGCCAAUGGCGGACAACUACCAGCACGAUGAAUUUCGUGUGUCACCGGACUCGUGUAGUCAUGUAACGUUACUUACUGAGUCCGCGUUGAGCGAGGCGGGGAGACGUGAGAGGUAUUUGACAGGUCUCUUGUAUUCAGCGAUGG